rnacentral:lncRNA from 1 species
AGGGACGAACGCACCACGAAACAGGGCUCCGCUUUUCAAGGCUGGGUGGUGAGCCAGCCCUCCCCAGCCACACCUCACAGCAUACAUCUACAGGGAGGGCGGGCAGCCCACACCACACCACAGACACCAGCAGCCGGCAGCGUUAUCCCCAGCCCUCGGGGUGAGCCCGGCCGCCCGCCGGGACGCUUUGGGGCGGGUGGCGGCGGGGCAGCCCCGCAGGUGCGGCCGGGCGGGGCGGCGGGAGGGCCGAAAGCACCGCUCCUCCUCCUCCUCCUCUUCCUCCUCCUCCUCAACCUCCUCCUCCUCCUCCUCCUCCGAGGGGCUGCCGGCUCCCGCGGCGGGGCGGAGCGGGGCGGGCGCUGCCGGAGCCCCGAGGGGAGCGGAGCGGAGCCCCGAGGACAGAGCAGCCCCCCCCGGGUCGCCCCCAUCGCCCCCCGGCCCCAUGGGGGACUCGGUGUUCGGCGAGAAGCCGGCGCUGCGCUACGCGGUGAGUGCCGGGCAGGGGGGAUUUGGGGGAGAUCCGGGGUUCAUAGGGGGGCUGGAGGCUGCUGGCCCCUGCGCGGAGCGGAGCCUCUCGCCCCCCUGGUGUGGGGGAUCCGGGGGGGUCCGGGGUGCGAGCAGCCGGUGCUGUUAUUUCCUUCGCUGGGGCUUGUGCUGCUGAGAAGCCACUUCCUUUCUGCUGGCCUUAUUAGGAGCAUUUUCGCGGUUGCUCGGGCAGAGGGGGGAGGAAAAAAAAAAAAGGCAAAAAGAAAGCUGCCUGCAAACACCCGUCUGCCUCCUCGUGAAUACCCAGCGGCGGCGGGCAAAGGCGUGCAGGCUGUGCGGCCACCCCGCUGCUCGCCCCGGGGCGUGUGGCGAGUGCCUGGGGGGCCCGGGGAGCCCCCAGCAGCCCCCCCGGCGGGUCCCGGCUCCUCCGGGCUUCCCCGAGCACUACGCUCCCCCGGUGCCCUAAACGGGGCUCUCCCCUUGACUCUGUCGUCCCUUAAACCUCGUGUCUGCAGCCCAGAGCCCUAG